UACGUAGGGACCAAGCGUUGUCCGGAAUCAUUGGGCUUAAAGGGCGCGUAGGCGGCUUGCCAAGUCAGGGGUGAAAUCCUGCAGCUUAACUGUAGAAGGGCCUUUGAUACUGGCGAGCUCGAGGGAGGUAGGGGUAUGUGGAACUUCCGGUGGAGCGGUGAAAUGCGUUGAUAUCGGAAGGAACGCCGGUGGCGAAAGCGACGUACUGGACCUCUUCUGACGCUGAGGCGCGAAAGCUAGGGGAGCAAACGGG
rnacentral:rRNA from 1 species